UAGAGUUUGAUCCUGGCUCAGAACGAACGCUGGCGGCAGGCUUAACACAUGCAAGUCGAACGCCCCCUUCGGGGGGAGUGGCAGACGGGUGAGUAACGCGUGGGAAUCUACCCAACCCUACGGAACAACUCGAGGAAACUUGAGCUAAUACCGUAUACGCCCUUUUGGGGAAAGAUUUAUCGGGGAUGGAUGAGCCCGCGUUUGAUUAGCUAGUUGGUGGGGUAAUGGCCUACCAAGGCGACGAUCAAUAGCUGGUCUGAGAGGAUGAUCAGCCACAUUGGGACUGAGACACGGCCCAAACUCCUACGGGAGGCAGCAGUGGGGAAUAUUGGACAAUGGGCGCAAGCCUGAUCCAGCCAUGCCGCGUGAGUGAUGAAGGCCCUAGGGUUGUAAAGCUCUUUCAACGGUGAAGAUAAUGACGGUAACCGUAGAAGAAGCCCCGGCUAACUUCGUGCCAGCAGCCGCGGUAAUACGAAGGGGGCUAGCGUUGUUCGGAUUUACUGGGCGUAAAGCGCACGUAGGCGGAUCGUUAAGUGAGGGGUGAAAUCCCGGGGCUCAACCCCGGAACUGCCUCUCAUACUGGCGAUCUGGAGUUCGAGAGAGGUGAGUGGAAUUCCGAGUGUAGAGGUGAAAUUCGUAGAUAUUCGGAGGAACACCAGUGGCGAAGGCGGCUCACUGGCUCGAUACUGACGCUGAGGUGCGAAAGCGUGGGGAG
rnacentral:rRNA from 1 species